AUGAACGCUGGCGGCGUGUCUAAGGCAUGCAAGUCGAAUGGGUUUAGACCCAUGGCAAACGGGUGAGUAACACAUUGGUAACUUACCUCGAAGUUCAGCAUAACCCUCCGAAAGGAGGAAUAAUACUGGAUGUGUUCGUCCGCCUAAUGGCGGAUGAGUAAAGAUUUAUCGCUUCGAGAGAGACCUAUGUCUUAUCAGCUAGUUGGUAGUGUAACGGACUACCAAGGCUAUGACGAGUAGCGGGUGUGAGAGCACGACCCGCCUCACUGGGACUGAGACACUGCCCAGACUCCUACGGGAGGCUGCAGUCAAGAAUAUUCCACAAUGGACGAAAGUCUGAUGGAGCGACGCCGCGUGAUUGAUGAAGCCCUUCGGGGUGUAAAGAUCUUUUAUUAGGGAAGAACUUUUGACGGUACCUAAUGAAUAAGGGGUUGCUAACUCUGU
rnacentral:rRNA from 1 species